rnacentral:rRNA from 1 species
AUUGAACGCUGGCGGCAUGCCUUACACAUGCAAGUCGAACGGUAACGGGCCUUCGGGUGCCGACGAGUGGCGCACGGGUGCGUAAUACAUCGGAACGUGCCCGAUCGUGGGGGAUAACGAGGCGAAAGCUUUGCCAAUACCGCAUACGAUCUACGGAUGAAAGCAGGGGACCGCAAGGCCUUGCGCGGACGGAGCGGCCGAUGGCAGAUUAGGUAGUUGGUGGGAUAAAAGCUUACCAAGCCGACGAUCUGUAGCUGGUCUGAGAGGAUGAUCAGCCACACUGGGACUGAGACACGGCCCAGACUCCUACGGGAGGCAGCAGUGGGGAAUUUUGGACAAUGGGCGCAAGCCUGAUCCAGCCAUGCCGCGUGCAGGAUGAAGGCCUUCGGGUUGUAAACUGCUUUUGUACGGAACGAAAAGCCUUCUUUUAAUACAGGAGGGUCAUGACGGUACCGUAAGAAUAAGCACCGGCUAACUACGUG